GACGAACGCUGGCGGCGUGCUUAACACAUGCAAGUCGAACGGAAAGGCCCUGCUUUUGUGGGGUGCUCGAGUGGCGAACGGGUGAGUAACACGUGAGUAACCUGCCCUUGACUUUGGGAUAACUUCAGGAAACUGGGGCUAAUACCGGAUAGGAGCUCCUGCUGCAUGGUGGGGGUUGGAAAGUUUCGGCGGUUGGGGAUGGACUCGCGGCUUAUCAGCUUGUUGGUGGGGUAGUGGCUUACCAAGGCUUUGACGGGUAGCCGGCCUGAGAGGGUGACCGGCCAAAUUGGGAAUGAGGAACGGCCCAGACUCCUACGGGAGGCAACAGGGGGGAAUAUUGCACAAUGGGGGGAAGCCUGAUGCAGCAACGCCGCGUGCGGGAUGACGGCCUUCGGGUUGUAAACCGCUUUCGCCUGGGACGAAGCGUUAGUGACGGUAAUGGGUAAAGAAGCACCGGCUAACUACGUG
rnacentral:rRNA from 1 species